rnacentral:rRNA from 1 species
AGGGCAUAAGGUGGAUGCCUUGGCACUAGGCGCCGAAGAAGGACGUGACAAGCUGCGAAAAGCUACGGGGAGUUGCAAAUGAACCUUGAUCCGUAGAUAUCCGAAUGAGGGAACUCACUUAACAUAAGUUAAGUAACAUUAGCUGAAUACAUAGGCUAAUGUGGGGAACUCGGGGAACUGAAACAUCUAAGUACCCGAAGGAAAAGAAAGAAAACAAUCGAUUUCCUAAGUAGUGGCGAGCGAAAGGGAAAGAGCCUAAACCUAGCAUAGCGAUAUGUGAAGGGGUUCGGACUCGCGAAAUCAGCAUAGAGUGUAGUUGAACUAAACUGGAAAGUUUGACCAAAGAAAGUGAUAGUCUUGUAAGCGAAACACGAAAUGCGAGGCGAGUAUCCAGAGUACGGCAGGGCACGAGGAACCCAGUCGGAAGGAGGGAGGACCAUCUCCCAAGGCUAAAUACGACCUAGUGACCGAUAGAGUAUAGUACCGUGAGGGAAAGGUGAAAAGAACCCCGGGAGGGGAGUGAAAGAGAACCUGAAACCUUAUGCUUACAAGCAGAUAUAGCACGACUAAGCGUGUGGUAUCGUACUUUUUGUAGAACGGGCCGGCGAGUUGCGUUAUGUAGCGAGGUUAAGUAAUUAAGUUACGGAGCCGAAGCGAAAGCGAGUCUUAAUAGGGCGACAUAGUUGCAUGACGCAGACCCGAAACCAGACGACCUAACCAUGAGCAGGUUGAAGCAGUGGUAAGACACUGUGGAGGACCGAACCCACGCCUGUUGAAAAAGUCGGGGAUGACUUGUGGUUAGCGGAGAAAUUCCAAUCGAGUCUGGAGAUAGCUGGUUCUCCUCGAAAUAGCUUUAGGGCUAGCCUCUACAUUAGAUUACUGACGGUAGAGCACUGAAUGGGCUAGGGGGCUUCACAGCUUACUGAACCUUAUCAAACUUCGAAUGUCAGAUAAUUAUAGUAGGGAGUCAGACAGUGGCAGAUAAGUGUCAUUGUCAAAAGGGAAACAGCCCAGAUCUACAACUAAGGUCCCAAAGUACAAGUUAAGUGGUAAAGGAUGUGUCACCACUAAGACAACCAGGAUGUUGGCUUAGAAGCAGCCACUCAUUUAAAGAGUGCGUAAUAGCUCACUGGUCGAGUGGUGGUGCGCCGAAAAUUACCGGGGCUAAAACUUGUCACCGAAGUUUAGGCAUACAAGUAAUUGUAUGGGUAGAGGAGCAAUGUAUGCAGGCUGAAGCAGUAUCGGAAGGGGCUGUGGACAGCAUACAAGAGAGAAUGCCGGCAUAAGUAGCGAGAGCAUAGUGAGAAUCUAUGCCGUCGAAAGUCUAAGGUUUCCUGGGGAAGGUUCGUCCUCCCAGGGUAAGUCGGGACCUAAGCCGAGGGCGAAAGCCGUAGGUGAUGGACAACAGGUAGAUAUUCCUGUACCACCGAUAAACGAUUAAAUGAAGCAAUGACACAGAAGGAUAGUCAAAGCGCGCAGAUGGCGACGCGUCCAAAUCAUGAGGCUGGUAAGUAGUGAAGUACGCUUACUAAGGCUAGGUGAUGAAGGGGAGUGAAAACUAGUAACGAAGUUGAUGAAUUCACGCUGGCGAGAAAAGUUGCUAAAUAUGUUUAAAGGUGCCCGUACCGCAAACCGACACAGGUAGACGAGGAGAAAAUCCUAAGACGAGCGGGAUAACCAUUGUUAAGGAACUCUGCAAAAUUGCCUCGUAACUUCGGGAGAAGAGGCGCCAACGAGAGUUGGUCACAGAAAAGAGGCCCAAGCAACUGUUUACCAAAAACACAGGUCUCUGCGAAAUCGAAAGAUGACGUAUAGGGGCUGACGCCUGCCCAGUGCUGGAAGGUCAAGGGGAAAUGUUAGCGCAAGCGAAGCAUAGAACUUAAGCCCCAGUGAACGGCGGCCGUAACUAUAACGGUCCUAAGGUAGCGAAAUUCCUUGUCGGGUAAGUUCCGACCCGCACGAAUGGCGUAAUGAUUUGGGCGCUGUCUCAACAGUGGACCCGGCGAAAUUGUAGUAUAUGUGAAGAUGCAUAUUACCCGCGACUGGACGGAAAGACCCCGUAGAGCUUUACUGUAACUUGAUAUUGGAUUUCGGUAAUUGAUGUACAGGAUAGGUGGGAGACUGAGAAGCAAAGGCGUCAGCUUUUGUGGAGUCGCCCUUUGGAUACCACCCUUUGAUUAUUGGAAUUCUAACCUUGUGCCGUUAUCCGGGCAAGGGACAGUGUCAGGUGGACAGUUUGACUGGGGCGGUCGCCUCCUAAAGAGUAACGGAGGCGUUCAAAGGUUCCCUCAGAACGGUUGGAAAUCGUUCGUAGAGUGUAAAGGUAUAAGGGAGCUUGACUGAGAGACAGACAUGUCGACCAGAUACGAAAGUAGGACUUAGUGAUCCGGCGGUAGAGAAUGGAAUUGCCGUCGCUUAACGGAUAAAAGUUACCUCGGGGAUAACAGGCUUAUCUCCCCCAAGAGUUCACAUCGACGGGGAGGUUUGGCACCUCGAUGUCGGCUCGUCACAUCCUGGGGCUGGAGUCGGUCCCAAGGGUUCGGCUGUUCGCCGAUUAAAGUGGCACGCGAGCUGGGUUCAGAACGUCGUGAGACAGUUCGGUCCCUAUCCAUCGUGGGCGUAGGAUAUUUGAGAGGAUCUGCCCCUAGUACGAGAGGACCAGGGUGGACGAACCUACUGUGCACCAGUUGUUACGCCGAGUAGCAUAGCUGGGUAGCGGAGUUCGGAUGGGAUAAACGCUGAAGGCAUCUAAGCGUGAAACCCACCUCAAGAUAAGAUAUCCCAUAUUUUU